GGAAGGCUCAGACAGCCAGGAUGUUGGCUUAGAAGCAGCCAUCAUUUAAAGAAAGCGUAAUAGCUCACUGGUCGAGUCGGCCUGCGCGGAAGAUGUAACGGGGCUAAGUAGUAAACCGAAGCUGCGGCAAUGACAUGAGUAACGAUAAAGGGGGUGAAAAACCUCCUCGCCGGAAGACCAAGGGUUCCUGUCCAACGUUAAUCGGGGCAGGGUAAGUCGACCCCUAAGGCGAGGCCGAAAGGCGUAGUCGAUGGGAAACGGGUUAAUAUUCCCGUACUUCUUACAAUUGCGAUGGGGGGACGGAGAAGGCUAGGUGGGCCUGGCGACGGUUGUCCAGGUUCAAGUGCGUAGGCUU
rnacentral:rRNA from 1 species